CAGUAGCCGCGGGAAAACGAAGGGGGCGAGCGUUGUUCGGAUUUACUGGGCGUAAAGGGCGCGCAGGCGGCAGAUCAAGUCAGAUGUGAAAGCCCCGGGCUUAACCUGGGAACUGCAUUUGGGACUGGUUUGCUAGAGAUCGGGAGAGGAGAGUGGAAUUCCCAGUGUAGAGGUGAAAUUCGUAGAUAUUGGGAAGAACACCGGUGGCGAAGGCGGCUCUCUGGACCGAUACUGACGCUGAGACGCGAAAGCGUGGGGAGCAAACAGGAUUAGAUACCCCUGUAGUCCCUGUCUCUUAUAC
rnacentral:rRNA from 1 species